UACGGAGGGUGCAAGCGUUUAAUCGGAAUUACUGGGCGUAAAGCGUGCGUAGGCGGUUCGUUAAGUCUGUUGUGAAAGCCCCGGGCUCAACCUGGGAAUGGCAAUUGGAUACUGGCGAGCUAGAGUGUGUCAGAGGAUGGUGGAAUUCCCGGUGUAGCGGUGAAAUCGUAGAGAUCGGGAGGAACAUCAGUGGCGAAGGCGGCUCUCUGGGGAC
rnacentral:rRNA from 1 species